AAGACCUUGCGCUUUUGGAGCGGCCGAUGCCUGAUUAGCUUGUUGGUAAGGUAAAAGCUUACCAAGGCUUCGAUCAGUAGCUGGUCUGAGAGGACGACCAGCCACACUGGGACUGAGACACGGCCCAGACUCCUACGGGAGGCAGCAGUGGGGAAUUUUGGACAAUGGGGGCAACCCUGAUCCAGCCAUGCCGCGUGAGUGAAGAAGGCCUUCGGGUUGUAAAGCUCUUUCAGCCGGAACGAAACGGUUACGGAUAACACCCGUGACUACUGACGGUACCGGAAGAAGAAGCGCCGGCUAACUACGUGCCAGCAGCCGCGGUAAUACGUAGGGUGCGAGCGUUAAUCGGAAUUACUGGGCGUAAAGCGUGCGCAGGUGGUUUUGUAAGUCAGAUGUGAAAGCCCCGGGCUCAACCUGGGAACU
rnacentral:rRNA from 1 species